GACGAACGCUGGCGGCGUGCUUAACACAUGCAAGUCGAACGAAGUGGCGAACGGGUGAGUAACGCGUAAUCACCCUGCCCUUCAGAGGGGGACACCACUUGGAAACGAAUGCUAAUACCGCAAACUGAAGGAGGGGGUUGCGUCGUAUUAGCUAGUUGGAGGGGUAACGGCCCACUAAGGCGAUGAUCAGUAGCCGGUCUGAGAGGAUGAACGGCCACAUUGGGACUGAGACACGGCCCAGACUCCUACGGGAGGCAGCAGUGGGGAAUCUUCCGCAAUGGACGAAAGUCUGACGGAGCAACGCCGCGUGAGUGAUGACGGCCUUCGGGUUGUAAAGCUCUGUUAAUCGGGACGCGGUACCGGAAUAGAAAGCCACGGCUAACUACGUGCCAGCCGCCGCGGUAAUUC
rnacentral:rRNA from 1 species